AGAAACCUUUGAGUGAUAGCCUUGGGGGAUGUUCGAAAAAAAUGUUUUUUUUUUUUUCUAUUUGAGCAGAACUCAAGAAAGUCUAUGUGGCAGGAGGGCUGAGGGCUGUGGUCAUGGAGGAGAACGCUGCUUCAGAAUAAAAGCUAUUACUUUAAUAAGAUCCUCCCAUCCCUCAUAAGGGCUCCCUUCACAUGGUAUAAGCAACAUACCCAAGAAUUUAAAAAUCUUUACCCAGCAAUGGAGUGGCCUUCAGCCUUGACCUGCAUCAAAAUCACCAUGAAGCUUUCUAUUAUUUUUUUAUUAUUUAUUUUUAUUGUUUUUUUUUUUUUUUCUCUUUUCUAGGGCUGCACCCUUGGCAUAUGGAGGUUCUCAGGCUAGGGGUCUAAUUGGAGCUGUUGCCGCCGGCCUUUGCCAGAGCCACAGCAAUGCCAGAUCCAAGCCAUGUCCGUGACCUACACCACAGCUCAUGGCAAUGCCAGAUCCUUAACCCACUGAACAAGGCCAGGGAUUGAACCUGCAACCUCAUGGGUCCUAGUCAGAUUCGUUAACCACUGAGCCAUAACAGGAACUCCUCAUGGAGUUUUUUAAAAAUGCAGAAGCCCAGGAGUUCCCUGGUGGCUCAGCAGGUUAAGGAUCUAGUGUUGUUACUACUGUGGCUCAAGUCACUGCUAUGGCACAGGUUUGAUCCUUGGCCUCUGAACUUCUGCAUGCUGCAGGACCAUCCAAAAAUCAAAACAAAACAAAACAAAGCAGAAACCUAGGCCCUGCCUCCAAAGUUCUGGUUUAAUCAAUCUUAGAAGCCACGCUUUUCUAUCUGUUUUUGUUUCCCAAGUCAUUCUGAUGUGUAGCUGAUUUGAAAUCACUAUUCUGUAACAUAAAAGUUUUAUGUGGAUAUCUGAUGUAUUUAUCAGUCUCCCUUCUAGUUAGGUUUGACUAUAUAUCUAAGUUCUGGUCAUGGGCUGUGAGCCAAAGGGUUAUAAAUGCAACUUCUCUGGUGUGCUCUUAAAGAAGCAUGACUUCCUCUUCUUUCUUCCCUUCUUGCUGGCUAGAAUAUGGAAUAUGGUAAUGCAAAUGUAAAUAGCCAUCUUAGACCAAGAUGACAGCCAUGGACCGAGAAUGGCAGAGCCACAAGAGAGAAGGAGCCUGGCCCCCAUCACCACAUGGCUGGAAUAUCAGCCCUAGACUGCUUACCUUUAAAUCAUGUGAGAGGAGUAAGAUUCAGCCUUCCUUAAGGCACUGUUGUUUUCUUCUGGCGUUUGUUACAGCAGCCUAAUAUUUACACAACCUAAUUUAUA
rnacentral:lncRNA from 1 species